rnacentral:rRNA from 1 species
UACGUAGGCAGCAAGCGUUGUUCGGAGUUACUGGGCGUAAAGAGUGCGUAGGCGGUUUUCUAAGUUUGGUGUGAAAUCUCCUGGCUUAACUGGGAGGGUGCGCCGAAAACUGGAGGGCUUGAGUAUGGGAGAGGUAAGCGGAAUUCCUGGUGUAGCGGUGAAAUGCGUAGAUAUCAGGAGGAACACCGGUGGUGUAGACGGCUUACUGGACCAUUACUGACGCUGAGGCACGAAAGCGUGGGUAGCAAACAGG